rnacentral:lncRNA from 1 species
AGUGUUCAAGCGGCCGCAGAGCGGCCCAGAGUUCGCAGGUCUGGGGCUCUCUUCCCAGAGAGCUCGUAGGGGAGGACAGUCAAGGGACUCAAGCGUCUCUCUUGACUCCCCUUCUCUCGCUGUGCAGUGGCGGCGCCGAGGGGUCGACGCUCAGGGCUAAUCUCUAUGAGUCACCCUCGAGGCCCCGGGUAAUAUUGGGUGGAUCACAAGAACUAAUCUUUCAUGAUUUGGAAACCGGAAGGAAAGAAGCACUUUUGUAGCUGACUUACCUCAAUGACAUGACCAGUGUCUGAGCCUACAACUGCGCUAUCUUCCCUGGAUUUUUCUUCACCUUUUCCUUACUCAUGAGCCAGAUGGAGCUAAGAUUGGAACUGAGGUCUGGCUAUAAAGCUGCCUUUAUGUCCAUCGCAUCCUAAGGGCUGCUGUUGCUCUUCUGCCUCUACACUGAUGGACUACGUCAGAACAUCAAUAUGCUGUAUUGAUGAUAAUGGAUGAUAUUUUCUUAGUUGUGCCAAUAUUACUCUUGAGGGAAGAAAUGAUGCCAAGCCAGGCCAACUCCUACUCCUCAUCUGAUUCAGCCCAGUGAUGAGCUCUGUCAAGAAGACCUCCAAGAUCAGCCCCCUCUAUGCUCUCAUAGUCCCCUCUGCUGAUUCCUAUUAAGUCCUGUUCUUGCCAGUGAGACGCCUGCUCCAGCUUUGCCUUCCACCAUGAGUAAAGGCUCCCUAAGGCCUCCCAAGAAACAGAUGCCACCAUGCUUCCUGUACAGCCUGCAGAACCAUGAGCCAAUUAAACCUCUUCUCUUUAUAAAUUACCCAGUCUCAGCUAUUUCUUUAUAGCAAUGCAAGAAUGGACUAAUACAGUAUGUAGGACAUAUUUCACAACUUAAAAAUUUUACUUUAAAAUAGAAAAAUAUUAACCACAAUUUAGGAGAUGGCUCAGCUGGGAAGCAUUUAUACAGACAUAAUAGCAUUUAUACAGAUAUAAUAAUAGAAAUAUGGCUUUACUGAAAGGUAUGGGAAUGGGAAGGGAGGCAGGAUGAGGUGGAAGAGGCUAAAUUCUCCUGUUCCAUGAUGAGAAGUAAUAGAUGAUGCCUAAAACUGAAUAAUUAACAAGGAACAACACAGGCAACCUACAUAGAUAUACAUCCUGCACCUACAUAGAGGAAAAUGUUGUCAUGAAAAUCAGUGAAAC